rnacentral:RNase_P_RNA from 1 species
GUGGCAGGCUGCUUUAUCGCUCUUUGCUGACAAAGAGAGGAAAGUCCGGGCAACGCAGGGCGCCGUGCUUCCUAACAGGAAGAUCUCCGAAAGGGGAUAUCAGCGUAACAGAAAAUAACCACCCCGAUUAAUCGGGGAACGGGUGAAAAGGUGGGGUAAAAGCCCACCGGUGGUUGUGGCAACACAAUCAGCCGUACGCCUCACGGGUUGCAAAGCCAAAUAUAUCCCGAUUGUGCGGCUGUUGCAUCGCAGCGGAGUUGCCCGCUCCGUUUCCGAAAUCUCAACUCGGAGUGUCGGGAGGGGUAGGCUGCAGGAUCCCGUCAGCGAUGACGGGGCAAGAUAAAUGAUAAAGGUUUCCGGUGAAAACCGAAAAUACAGAACCCGGCUUACAAGCCUGCCAUUUUU